AAAUCCUCAAAUGCCAGCUUGACAAGUGAAUGUUGACUUCCACAAUCAACACCAACUAAUUUAGCUAAGGAAAAGGGCUUUUGUUUUUAGGAAAUAGAUUGCCGUAUCCUAGAAACCUAGAGAGUGAAAUGUUUUCUCUUCUUUUUCCUCCCAGGUUUUCUCUUGGCUUCUGCGUUUGGUUUGCUCCUUGUUAAAGGAAAAUAAUAGCAGGAUAUCUAGAUAUUUAGUAGAAAACAUAAAGUGGUGUCUAACAUGUGCUGGAAAAGACAAGCAUCUUUUCAUCCUUGUAAUUAGAUAGAUCAUGUUCAAAUGUCCUUUGUAUGUUAAUAGAGGUCAAACCUCUCAAUGGCAAUCGUUUUCCUGAAGUGGCAAGUUUGUUUCUUCCAAAAUUUAAGUUUCCCUGCAAGACACUGGUCAAAAGUCUUGCCCUGGAAGGUGAUCUGGCUCAGUACAAUUGGAGAAAUAAAACAACAGAGUAGAAUCUCAACUCCUGAGAUCUGUUCCCUCUGAUCGGAUGGCUCCUCCCAGAACCUUGACUUAUGGAGUUCCAGGAUUUAGAAAAUUCAUUUCAGAGGAACAAACAGACCAGACACAUACGAAAACAAACUCCUGUACAAAAGCACUUAUUGAGUGCACAGCAUUCUCCUUUGCUUCAUUCAGGUUGCCGAGUGUGAAGAUGCUAAGACGUGGUACUCACUGCAGCAGAGCCCACUCAGAACUGGUUCAAGGACUAUGAAUUUAGAGGCAUUUUUAUCAUCUCACAAGAAAUGCCCCUUUUGCUCAUGUUUCUGAAGUCCCACAGAAAAAGAACUGGCUAGAUGGCAGACUCAAAGGAUGUGUUUAGAAUAUAUAUUAUGUAGCUAGUUCCUUAAAAAGGCGUUUCCCUAAAAUAUAAUGUUCCCUGUGGAAAGGACUUGUUUUUUUUUGUAUGCAACUGUGAUUCUCCUCUUUCCAAGUUAGAAGAAAAUCCCCCAGUCAAACUGUCUUGCUUUUAUCAUUCAACAGCAACACCUGCUGGCUGAUGGGAGCAUGACAGGGACUGAUAGCUCCCUCAUUCCCCAAGAUUCAAUAACAAAACAAAAAACAAUGGUGGGCAAGCACAGGAAUGACCCCAGCUGUCUCACUUGAGCUUGUGGGUGACUCUCUGUUGGCCACAUAAAUGGCAAUAGCUACCUUCUGCCAAGAUGUCUCCCCAUCACACAGACACACGCUUUUUAGCCACGUGAGUCCUCAGAGAUCACGUAGUCCAAGAGUUCUCAGUUUUGGCUUUUAGUUUGGGUUGGUAUUUUUUUUUCCUGUUCCAGAUCUUUUUGGUAGUCUGCUGAAAUCUAUGGACUCCUUUUUGGAAUAUUGCUUUUCAAUGCAUAAAGUAAGAUACCUAGGAGCACAAAGGAAAACAAUUAUACUGAAAUUCAGUUAUUAGUUUUUUGAAAGGUUGUGGACUCUAGGUUAAGAACAAGCCCUGGUUUAGUCCAAGCACCUGCUUUUAUAAAAGAGGAAACUGAGCCUUAAUGAAAAGCAGUUACCGUUUCACAGUUACUCAGGUAGCCUGAGAUCCAAAACCAGGUCAUCGACUCCAAAUCCAGUGCCCUUGAGAGUGUACACUAGGUCUUCUGUCUUCCACCUUUUCUGAAGCCAUUUUCAACAUAUCAUUAUCAUCCAUCGUUUCCCUCAUGCAGAAUACAUUCCUGGGUAGCAGUUAAAGCAAUGAGGGCUAUGAGGAUGGGCUAAAAAGAUAAGCUGGUGAAUGUUAAAGCAGCUAACUAAAGUUAACCAUUUUGUUUUCAGUUAUCUAUUAUGGUGCUCUUCUUUCCAAUUAUUAGAGAUAAGAGCUAGGAUAAUGCACCCCUUUCUGGGUACAUACAUACAUCUUACAAUAUUUUGGCCAACUUAAAUGCUUCCUAAUUAUUUACAUUCAUGUAUGUACAAAUAUGCUUAUAUGUACCAAUGUAUGUAUAAUUAAUCCAGAUAGUUAUACAUGCAUAUACAUACCUCUCUCCUUUCCAUUUUUGACUUGAGCUUUUAACAUCAAAACAUUGCAGAAAGGGAUUUAUUAAUGCUCUGAAGAAUCAUUUUAUUUCUGAGGCAUAUAGACAAUGCAGCAUUAUAUUCAUGAAAAAAGUGAAGAGCCCCGUUUUCUCUUCAUACCCUUCUCUCCCAAAUUGUACCUCACAAAGUCACAUGAUAUGUCUUUCAAGACACCUAUUUUGCUAGGAAAGUAUUUUCUAGUCAUUGAGUAUUCCCAGCUCAUUUAUUUAUUUGUUUGUUUGUUUCUUUAUUUAAUCUUUUAAAACCCUUACCUGCCAUCUUAGAGUCAAUACUGUAUAUGGGUUCCAAGGUAGAAGAGUGGUAAGGGCUAGGUUAGGGGUUAAGUGACUUGCUCAAGGUCACACAGCUGGGAAGUGUCUAAGGCCAGAUUUGAAUGAGGACCUCCCUUCUCUAGGCCUGGCUCUCAAUCCACUGAGUCACAUAGCUGCCCACCAUGCCCAGAUCUUUUAAGCUUACAUCAGAGUUUCAAUAUUGGGGACUUUACCUUUCUUAUGAUUGAGGGGCAGUAAAAACAUCAAAGACAGGAAGACUUGGUGCUUAACUUAAAUCAAAUGGGCUGUGUCUAUCCAGGGGAAGGAGAACAGGAAAGAGAACCACUGACAUGGAUCAGACUUUUGUGACAGAACCAGAUUUCUUUUGCAGGGUCACUCUAUUUGGCCCAGGACAAACGAUGGGUAAGUGACUAACCAACCACCUGCAUCUACCACAUCCCCUCACAUUUAAUAGCCUGCUUCUCAGCACAGUGGUCAGCUGCCCUGGACCUGGCAGUUUCCUUUUCAUGUUCAUUUCAAAGCUUUGUCACCGGGGUCUUUCCAACAGUAGGACACAGGGCGAGAGACACGGCAGAUGAGAGGCAAAGCCAAAAUGGUGUCAGCUGGUUUGCUGCUCAGAUGAAGGGGAAGGUUGGCAGGCUUGUUGCAUGGAGAACCAGUGGUUCGCUUAUGUUAUGCUCGAGAGGAAGAUACCAGGGGAAUUUCAGGGAUAAUGAAUGGGGAAGGAGAUUAGAUUCUCAACAACUCAUCAAAAUCACUGAGGACAUAGUAACUCCAGAAGGUCUGAAGAGUAUCCUAAGCUAUAGAGUAACCCUAUAAAGAGCAUUUGCUUAACUAGCAAAAAGUCAUCAAACUGAGGAACAAUUUGGCACCUAUAGGCGUAACUACCAACAACAGAAUCCCCAUAAUGGUUUGGUAACACAGGAAUUUUGCUACAAAAGAUCAUUUACUCAUCAAGCCUGUUCACACAAAAAAUAAAGCCACUCUAUCACUUGACCUGUAUACA
rnacentral:lncRNA from 1 species